GAGGCUCGGAGCGGCGGAGAUGGCAGGUGGUGCUCGGCAGGGGCCUCAGGGCGGCAGACCUGGGCGCGGCGGAGAUGGCAGCAAAAUCACGCACGGCUCCUCUCUGAAUUAGAGCGCGGCGGAGAAAGACCUUCUCUUAAUUACUCUGUCUACCAGAUCGCCAGAUCGCAAGAUCUUUCAACGGCCGAAGGGACUGCGGCCGACGGAGCUUGGAAACGGAGGCGAGCAAAGGCAGGGACUGCUCGGCUGGGCCUCGCGACUGGGCGUCUCGCGUCUGCGUCUGGGUCUAGCGCGGCGGCACUCCGGUGGGAGAGGCGGGUGGCGCUCAGGUGGGAAGAGGCGCGGUGGCCCGGUGGCCCGAUGGGAGUCGUCCU
rnacentral:lncRNA from 1 species